rnacentral:rRNA from 1 species
UACGGGGGGGAGCAAGCGUUGUUCGGAUUUACUGGGCGUAAAGGGCGCGUAGGCGGUCAGCACAAGUCAGUUGUGAAAUCUCCGGGCUUAACUCCGGAAGUGCUCCCAGAAACGGUCAGACUAGGAGUACUGGAGAGGUGAGCGGAAUUCCCGGUGUAGCGGUGAAAUGCGUAGAGAUCGGGAGGAACACCAGCGGCGAAGGCGGCUCACUGGACAGUUACUGACACUCAACUACGAAAGCGUGGGGAGCAAACAGG